UUGUCGAUAGGAGAUGGCAUUCUCCUGAGGGUCUCCCGCUAACCGCUCCUCGAUAAGCCGAUGAUGCCUACCCACAC
rnacentral:ncRNA from 2 species